UGGACAGUCUGAGUCUGAGUCUCUCUCUCUCUCCAGGGGCUUUGUCUCAGGAUCCUGACUAUACCAUUGAAAUGCCGGAGUCGGUGACAGUGCAGGAGGGCCUGUGUGUCCUUGUGCCCUGCACCGUCUCCUACCCCAAGUACUGUUGGAUUAACUCGGACCCAGCUUAUGGCUAUUGGUACAAGGUUGAUGCCGCUACUGGACAGAAUGUCCUGGUGGCUACAAACAACGGCAAGCAAAAAGUGCAGGAGGAGACCCUGGACAGAUUCCAACUCUUUGGGAACCCCCAGAGUUAUGGCUGCUCCCUGAACAUCAGAAAUGUACAUACGGGGGACGGGGGGGCAUACAUCUUUCAAGCGGAGAGAGGUGAUUACAUGAAAUACAGUUUCAAAAAGAAGGUGUUCCUGCAGGUGACAGGUAGGAUAAAGACCCAGAAGAAUGGGGCAUUUUCUCAUCCAGGGUUGGGGGAGGCAUUCAGGACCCUGGGAGUUAAGGGAGAUAAGUGAAGGCAACCUCUCUCUCUCUUCCUCAGCUCUGACCCAGAAACCUGAGAUCUACAUCCCAAAGACACUGGUGUCCAGCCGCCCUGGGAACUUGAACUGCACUGUUCCAUGGGCUUAUGAGAAAGGGAAGCACCUCAAAUUCUUCUGGACAGGAGCUGCCAUCAAUUUUCUGGCUCCUAAGAUUCGCAGUUCCUCGGUGCUCACACUCAUCCCACGGCCACAAGACCUCAACACCAACCUCACCUGUUAGGUGACUCUACCUGGAGUAGGUGUGUCCAUAGAGAGGACUGUCCAGCUCGAUGUCUUCUAUGCUGCACAGUUUGUGACCAUCAACGCUUCCUUGGGAAACUACAGAGCUCUGAAGACCUUGGGUAAUGGCACACUGCUACCUGUCCUGGAGGGUCAGUCCCUGCUUCUGGAAUGCAUGGCUGAUGGCAAUCCCCCUGCCAUGCUGAGCUGAGCCUAUGAAGGAAAAUCCCUGAACACCUUCCGGUUCCCAGCGCCCAGGGUCCUGAAGCUGCCCCAAGUAAAAGCUGAAAAUGAAAGGGAAUUCACCUGCCUGGCUCAGAACUCUGUGGGCUCCCAGCACACUUCUUUGAGCCUCUCUGUGUAUAGAAAACCCUCCUCCAGCAGUUCUGUGUCUGUGAAAUAUGAGGGGUCCUGGCCCCUGUUGGGGCCUGGCUUCCUCCUCACCUGGCUUCAUCGGGAUCUACUACACCAGGUG